CCUACGGGUGGCAGCAGUGGGGAAUAUUGCACAAUGGGGGGAACCCUGAUGCAGCGACGCCGCGUGAGUGAAGAAGUAUUUCGGUAUGUAAAGCUCUAUCAGCAGGGAAGAAAAUGACGGUACCUGACUAAGAAGCCCCGGCUAACUACGUGCCAGCAGCCGCGGUAAUACGUAGGGGGCAAGCGUUAUCCGGAUUUACUGGGUGUAAAGGGAGCGCAGACGGCUGUGCAAGUCUGGAGUGAAAGGCGGGGGCCCAACCCCCGGACUGCUCUGGAAACUGUAAAGCUGGAGUGCAGGAGAGGUAAGCGGAAUUCCUAGUGUAGCGGUGAAAUGCGUAGAUAUUAGGAGGAACACCAGUGGCGAAGGCGGCUUACUGGACUGCAACUGACGUUGAGGCUCGAAAGCGUGGGGAGCAAACAGGAUUAGAUACCCCAGUAGUC
rnacentral:rRNA from 1 species